UUCUCCCUACGGGAGGCAGCAGUGAGGAAUAUUGGUCAAUGGGCGGGAGCCUGAACCAGCCAAGUCGCGUGAGGGAAGACGGUCCUAUGGAUUGUAAACCUCUUUAGGCGGGGAGCAAUGCCGGGCACGCGUGUCCGGAGGGAGAGUACCCGCAGAAUAAGCAUCGGCUAACUCCGUGCCAGCAGCCGCGGUAAUACGGAGGAUGCGAGCGUUAUCCGGAUUUAUUGGGUUUAAAGGGUACGCAGGCGGAGGCACAAGUCAGCGGUAAAAUCGCGGGGCUCAACCCCGCUCCGCCGUUGAAACUG
rnacentral:rRNA from 1 species